GCCUGGAUAGCUCAGUUGGUAGAGCACAUCGUUGGUAACGAUGAGGUCAUGGGUUCAAUUCCCGUUCCAGGCU
rnacentral:tRNA from 1 species